rnacentral:rRNA from 1 species
CUGCUAUCAGAGUGGGACUAAGCCAUGCGAGUUAACGUAGCAAUACGUGGCACACGGCUCAGUAACACGUGGUCAACAUACCCAGAGGACGUGGAUAACCUCGGGAAACUGAGGAUAAACCGCGAUAGACCAUAAUGUCUGGAAUGAUUUAUGGUUCAAAUCUAUAUGGCCUCUGGAUUGGACUGCGGCCGAUCAGGCUGUUGGUGAGGUAAUGGCCCACCAAACCUGAAACCGGUACGGGCUCUGAGAGGAGAAGCCCGGAGAUGGGCACUGAGACAAGGGCCCAGGCCCUAUGGGGCGCAGCAGGCGCGAAACCUUUGCAAUAGGCGAAAGCCUGACAAGGUUACUCUGAGUGAUCUCCGCUAAGGAAAUCUUUUGACACCUCUAAAAAUGGUGUAGAAUAAGGGGUGGGCAAGCCUGGUGUCAGCCGCCGCGGUAAUACCAGCACCCCGAGUGGUCGGGACGAUUAUUGGGCCUAAAGCAUCCGUAGCCGGUUUUACAAGUCCUCCGUUAAAUCCAACUGCUUAACAGAUGGGCCGCGGAGGAUACUAUAGAGCUAGGAGGCGGGAGAGGCAAGCGGUACUUAGUGGGUAGGGGUAAAAUCCGUUGAUCCACUGAAGACCACCAGUGGCGAAGGCGGCUUGCCAGAACGCGCUCGACGGUGAGGGAUGAAAGCUGGGGGAGCAAACCGGAUUAGAUACCCGGGUAGUCCCAGCUGUAAACGAUGCAGACUCGGUGAUGAAUAAGCUUAGUGCCUAUUCGGUGCCGCAGGGAAGCCGUUAAGUCUGCCGCCUGGGGAGUACGGUCGCAAGACU